rnacentral:rRNA from 1 species
GGAGUUGUUUGAAAGCUUGCUUUCAAACAACUUAGUGGCGGACGGGUGAGUAACACGUGGGUCAUCCACCCUCUAGUGGGGAAUAACCCUGGGAAACUGGGGCUAAUACCGCAUAAGCCCGAAAGGGGAAAGCAGUAAUGCGCUGGAGGAGGAGCCCGCGGCCGAUUAGCUGGUUGGUGGGGUAAUGGCUCACCAAGGCUAUGAUCGGUAGCCGGCCUGAGAGGGCACACGGCCACACUGGCACCGAAACACGGGCCAGACUCCUACGGGAGGCAGCAGUGGGGAAUCUUGCACAAUGGGGGAAACCCUGAUGCAGCGACGCCGCGUGAGCGAUGAAGCCCUUCGGGGUGUAAAGCUCUUUCGGCAGGAACGAUUAUGACGGUACCUGCAGAAGAAGCUGCGGCUAACUACGUGCCAGCAGCCGCGGUAAUACGUAGGCAGCAAGCGUUGUUCGGAGUUACUGGGCGUAAAGAGUGUGUAGGCGGUCCUCUAAGUUUGGUGUGAAAUCUCCCGGCUCAACUGGGAGGGUGCGCCGAAAACUGGAGGGCUUGAGUGCGGGAGGGGAGAGCGGAAUUCCUGGUGUAGCGGUGAAAUGCGUAGAUAUCAGGAGGAACACCCGUGGUGUAGACGGCUCUCUGGACCGCCACUGACGCUGAGACACGAAAGCGUGGGUAGCAAACAGGAUUAGAUACCCUGGUAGUCCACGCCCUAAACGAUGCACACUUGGUGUAGGCAGUUCAUUCUGUCUGUGCCGGAGCUAACGCGUUAAGUGUGCCGCCUGGGGAGUACGGUCGCAAGGCU